CCUACGGGAGGCAGCAGUAGGGAAUCUUCGGCAAUGGGGGGAACCCUGACCGAGCAACGCCGCGUGAACGAAGAAGUUAUUCGUAAUGUAAAGUUCUUUUAACAGGGAAGAAAGAGAAAUUUGACGGUACCUGAAGAAUAAGCUCCGGCUAACUACGUGCCAGCAGCCGCGGUAAUACGUAGGGAGCGAGCGUUAUCCGGAAUUAUUGGGCGAAAAGGGUGCGUAGAUGGCAUAGUAAGUAUUUUGUAAAAAUGCUGGGCUCAACCCAGUAGGGCAAAAGAUACUGCAAAGCUAGAGUAUGACAGAGGCAAGUGGAACUACAUGUGUAGCGGUAAAAUGCGUAAAUAUAUGUAAGAACACCAGUGGCGAAGGCGGCUUGCUGGGUCGAUACUGACAUUGAGGCACGAAAGCGUGGGGAGCAAACAGGAUUAGAUACCCCAGUAGUC
rnacentral:rRNA from 1 species